rnacentral:snRNA from 1 species
GUGCUCGCUUCAGUAGCACAUAUACUAAAAUUGGAAUGAUACAGAGAUUAGCAUGGCCCCUGUGCAAGAAUGACAUGCAAAUUUGUGAAACAUUUCAUAUUUUU